AGAGUUUGAUCCUGGCUCAGGACGAACGCUGGCGGUGUGCUUCACACAUGCAAGUCGAACGAGUGACUUUCGUGUAGCAAUACAUGGAAGAAGCUAGUGGCGGACGGGUGAGUAACGCGUAGGAAUCUGCCUUCAGAUGGGGGAUAGCAGGCCGAAAGGCCUAUUAAUACCGCAUACGCGUAUAUCUCGACAGGGAUAUA
rnacentral:rRNA from 1 species